rnacentral:rRNA from 1 species
GUGCCAGCGGUAAUACAGAGGUCCCAAGCGUUGUUCGGAUUCACUGGGCGUAAAGGGUGCGUAGGCGGUCGGGUAAGUCUGAUGUGAAAUCUCACAGCUUAACUGUGAAACUGCAUUGGAUACUAUUCGGCUUGAGAGUUGGAGGGGGGACUGGAAUUCUUGGUGUAGCAGUGAAAUGCGUAGAUAUCAAGAGGAACACCAGUGGCGAAGGCGAGUCCCUGGACAACUUCUGACGCUGAGGCACGAAAGCUAGGGGAGCAAACAGG